GCAGCGUGGUGUGGAGGAAGCGUGGCUCAGCUGCAGAAAUACAUAACCUAGAAGGACCGGCAGAAAGCAUCCAGUCCAUUCAGCUCGGGAAUUCUUUCUCUCUUCACAGUGCUGAGUAGGUGCCGCAGAGUUCAGGGCUCUGCACCAACAGAACAGCAGCAGCAGGUCCAUGUGGGAGGAUUGGUGCAGAGUGACUGGAAGGCUGCGCAUCAGAAGCGGACCUGGAGUUCAAGAAAUGUGCAGAUGUCACUCUGAGAGACAUGGUUAGUGGGCAUGCUUGUGAUGGAUCGGCAGUUGGACGUGAUGAUCUUAGAGGUCUUUCCAACAUUAAUGAUCUACGAUUCUGCUCUAUAAUUCUGCUGGCCAGCGUGUUCCUCCACAAGAGACAGGAGGCUCAUACCUGGCUGCUUUCUGUAAAGUGUCUCUUUGGAAAGAGAGGUGGGAAAUGGUGCGUGGAGGGGCAGAACAACCUUGGUGGUAACAUGGUCGCUUCAAGGCUGAAGUUUCCUCCUUGGGCCUGAAGACAGUUUUCUACACUUUGUUAGACAAACAAACAGCUUCUUUUCAGUAAAUCUCCACAAAAUGCUGAGUCCAACUGUUACUGCUCUAAAUAAUAAUAAAUAAUAAUUAUAAUCAGUAAUGAUGAUGAUGGCUGUUACCAACUGAUUCUGGAUUGACUAGAAUGGAAACAGUCAUGGGUGUUUAAUGCUCUGGCAGCUCUGAACAGAAGGGCUGUUAACACCUGUAGUAAUUCAGAGGCCUAGGGCAGUCAUGGUGAGAUGGCAAAUUAAGUUUAAUGUAAUUUGAGGACAGGUGUUUCUUGGUUAUCCGUAUUAUGAAGUGUUGUAAAGAAGGCUGUACUGAAACCUACAGUCCAGAGAUUCUGAGAUGGUGUAGCAAUGAAAUAAAGCAAAAAUUACUUCAGUCAUAUCUCAGAACUGUGGGGAAGUCAUUCACUUUUGGCUUUCUGUUGCAAUGCCAGGCAUUAUGAAAAUCAUUUGACAGCAUUUUGUUGUUGGGUUUCUUUGAUGCUCUUUGUUUUUGUUUUUCUGCUUCUUUGGAGCUUUGCAUUACAUCCGUGGCUGAAGAUAGGAAGUAAGAUGCCUAAAUCUCUAACAAUUGUGUGGUUGAAAACCUUUCAGUAUUAGUAGUAAUUUACCAGUGAGCCCUGGACAAAAAAAUAGACAGAAAUUAACAUUUCUUUGUUGGUUCUCAGCAGCUCAGUGUUGCCUGUUCUGACAGCCCUUCUUAAAAUGAAUAGGGAAAAUGAACUGAUCCAGAAAUGCAAUCUGAAGUUACACAGAAAUCUCUUAAUUGUCACUGAGCAGAAAGGAAGGCUAUCCCACAAUGGGCAAUAACCUCAAUACUAUUUUUUAAGGCUUUUCACAAUAAUGUUUUUAUAUGAGCAAAAAUGUUAAAUUGUGGUAUUAAUGAAAAUAAAAUAAACUCACAGGCACUGCUGCACCGCUGAAAAAUGGUGGGGGCUGAUAAACAGGAAGCAUCAGAACACCAAAGUGCUGGACCGAGGUUACCUGGAGCAGUUACCCAUCUUAGGAAUCUCAAAAAUGAAAUGAGAUCACAAUAAGUUUGUGCUGUAUAGGGAAAGGGACUUCUUAACGGAAAACUGAAUUUCCUUCCUUUCUGCUUGUGACUGUGGUUAGCUGCCAGGUAGCUGCUCAGAGGCCCUUUCUUUUCUGUGUCUCAUGUGCAUUAGGGGCUGUGUAGGGACCGGCACUCAGGUGGGAUGUGGAUCUGAUGGCGCCGUGGCUGCAGGCUCCAUGGGGAGCAGCAGGGAGGAGCGAUCCCUCACACUGAAUGUUCCCAGCUCUGGAGUCAAUGCUGAGAGGUUAAUUCUGGGCUCAGCACCCUGCCCGGACGCUGUACAGAGGGAUGAUCGGUGGACAAUACCCUAAGGGUAUUUGUCUGUAAUCUUUCUGUAAUCUACCUUUUAAUCUAAAGCUAAAGCAUUAUCUGGUCUAAUUGAUCCCACUGCUGUCCAACAGCUGUCAAGAUAUUAUGUUGUACAGUUGAUUUUACAGGGAGAGACUGUGAUGUUUAGAUACCUUUGGCCCACCAGUUCUACAAAAACUACUGAAUUUCUCUGAUGCCAUAGAGGGUAGAGGAGGAAGAAGCUGCAGCACUGUGCAGCAGUCAGCAUUGAGGGCCGUAUCCCCUAAGAGAGCACAAAAGUAGAAUGUCAUGCCCCUUGAGAUGUGGGACUGCUGUUGUGACUGAAUGCAGCCACAAUUUCCUAUUGUAAUUAAGUUAGAACUUCCACAAUCCUCCUUAGAUGCUGAGGUGUGGCCCAGCAGCAGCUGUAAGUGUAGAGAAUAGUAAGAGGAUUUACUUUCCCUUGGGCUUUAUAUUGAGUUCCAGUAAAGGCAUUACCUUUGCUUUCCGCAUCCCACUGGAAUAAACUGUACUUGCAGAUGUGGCAGUCUGCUUUUUGAAAAAAGGUGGUAAGUCCUUGUUUUUUUUCCCUUGUCAGAUAUUAGUAAAAAAAUGUUCUCAUUUCAUCAAGGGCAAUUGAGAAUUCAGUAACAGCUGUGAAGUGCUUUGGCUGCACAAUCCUAGAGAAGAAACAGGCUUUCUUCUGUAGUCGUGGCACCCACUUGGCAGAAAGCUGUAUCCCCUGUCUCCCCUGCAUCCCCUCCAGUUGCAGCCACCCAAACUGAGCUCUCAGGGGAACAUGUGACCACCCAGGGUGUGCUCGAGCUUCCUGUGAGUCAGGUGGCAGCAGCAUUUUCUUUCAGCCUUCUGGUAGCAGGGAGCAGUAGUGACAGGAACGACAGACCCAGCUGAUCCACGUGUGGCUCCAAGGCUGGUAUCACUGACACAAUUUUGUUUCUAGAUCAUGGGAUGGUCUACACGACACCAGGCCUGCUGGCAUCUAAUGGAAUGCACCUUUCUCAUGGCAUUUUUGUACAAGAGUUACUGGGGCUGAUCAGUAGAACUUUAAUGCAGAUUCCAGGGGAAAAGGAAUAAAACCAGACAAGCAAAUAAUGGAGAUGUUGUGGUAGGAGUCUGCUAUGUGCCACCCAGUCAGGACAAUGAUAGCAAUGAAUUAUUCUUUAAGAAUCAUAGAAUGGUUUGGGUUGGAAGGGACCUUUAAGAUCAUCUACUUCCAAUUCCCUGCUAUAGGCAGGGACACCUCUCACUAGACCAGGGUGCUUAAAGCCUCAUCCAGCCUGGCCUAGAAAGCCUCAGGGUGGGGGCAUUCACUGCCUCGCUGGGCAACCUGUUCCAGUGUCUCACCACCCUCACAGUAAAGAAUUUCUUCCUGAUAUGUGGUCUAAAUCUACUCUCUUCCAGUUUAAAGCCAUUUCCCCUUUCCUGUCUCUACGUGCCCUUAUAAAAAGUUCCUCCCAGCUUUCCUGUAUGCCCCUUCAGGUACUGGACUGCUGCUAUGUGGUUUCCUUGGAGCCUCCUCUUCUGCAGACUGAACAGCCCCAACUCUCUCAGCCUGAUUACUAAGAGCUUAUUACUAAGAACUAAAGAGAUACCUCUGGAUCAGCUGCUCUUGUCCUUAGGGGUGACAACUUGCUGCUGCAAACCAGUACAGGACAUUCAUCCUUUACUUUGAUGAUAACUUGUUGGUACAAAGAGAGCUCACUAAGGAAUGUGCUCCUCUUUUAAAUAGAGGGUUUAUAUGGGUGAAGUUGCCAUCUAGAUCAUAGUGACUGGGAAGUAGUUGAGUUUAAAAUCUUUGCUAGGAGGCAAACUACCACCAAAACUUCAACCCUGAAUGUAGGGAGAGCAGAUUUCAGCUGCUCAGGAAACUAAUGAACAAGGUCUUCUGGGAAACUGCUUUUGAAGGAACUGGCAAGUGUUGCUUUUCCCCAAUAUUUGUAGGCAAAGAUUGUUUUAGACUUCUUUUACUUUUUGAUUUUUGUAACUAAGGCUGGAAUAGUUCUCAGUUAUCUGUGUAGUGACUCACCUAAUUUAAAAGGAAACAUCAUAAUCUUCUAGCUUCAUUUUUAAGUAUAUGAAUCCCCUCAGAAUGAUGAGACUGUCUGGCACAGAAACUUCAGAUUACCAUGAGCUUCAAUUAUUUUCUUUUGUUUUGUGUCUUGAGGCUUCAGUAUAUGUAUUAAUAUAUUAGGAUUUUUCUUUAAAAAAUGAAAUUGUGUAUGAAUUAGGCUUGGUAUUUAUUAUUGGCUGCUCCUUUCCAGCAGAAUCUCUUUGCAACUUGUAUAUUGGAGCAGGCAACCAACCUCUAGUGAGAUUGUUCCAGGAAUGAAACAUUUAAAGCAAAGAGGGAACUACUGAAAACUGUGAGGUUUUUGAAACCUGGCUUAAAAGCACCUUAAGGGCAUUUUGAUUUUUCUAGGCUACGAGCCUUCCUGGUAAUACAAAUCAGAUGGGGAUCUACUUAUUUGUCCGUGUCUUUCUGACAUUGCAAAUGUCUUCACCUGCUGUAAUAGAAUAUAAAAUAAAGGAAAAUUGUUAUGAUUUUUUGGAAAAAAUUGUCAGAGAACAAGUCCAGUGCUGCCUAAACAUGUGUGGGAUAGGAGGAUCAGCUACGAGAACAUGAAAAUCUAGACUAAAUGAGCAGGAAAGCACAUUGCCCUUAUACCCUUCUCCCCAGUCUGAGACAGAGCUGAAGUUACCUAGCUCUAGCUGGCUCUGACAAAGUCAGUGUAGUUUUGAUAGGACUGUAUUUAGCCUCUAGUGAUACAGCAGAGCAACAUAUUUUUAGAGUUAAAUCGCUGUAACAUUUCCAGCGCUUCUAAGAAAUUGAUACUGUCCUUUUUUUUUCUUCUUUUCUUUCCUUAUUAACUGCAGACCACUGUCUAAAAAUUCUCCCUUGAGUUUUUGAAAGGCACGUGCCACGACACACAUGUACCAUGCACAGUGCGUGCCACAUGGGAGGCACCAAAAGUGUCUCAGCACUCACUAUUGCACAGUUGGCUGGCUUCUAAAGCACUGCAAGAGCAGCCUUCUGCAAACAUGAUCUAAUUUGGUAUGCGUCCACACCCUUAGACACAGUUCAGAGUUCUGAUUACCUCUUCCCAGAAUAGGUAUAGCAAAGGUAGACAUGAAAUAAAGGAUUGACAAGAAUUAUGUGCCACGUGGAGCAGUUUCUGUGUGGGGAAAGACUGCGCAGGAAUCAACUGAGAAGACUGUGAAGAGUUGCAGUUGGAUAGUUGUUCUUGGUUUAUUCACAGACCCCAUCAUCUCUGUGUAAUGGCUUUCAAAUUUCAAUGAUGUUUUACAUAUGAGCAGUUAAAGCACAUGCAGAGUGAUGAUCCAACUGAUACAGUCUAUUUACAUUUCCAGGAGGCUUUUGACCGUAUUUCCUCUGAGAAUUUUUGAUGGAAAGGUAAGGUUAAGAAAGGUUACAGCAUGGACACAUAUCUAAAAGACAGGACAAAGAAGGCCAUUGUAAAUGGUCAGUUCUCUGUUCAUGGGUUGUUACAAGUCAGCUUCUGCAGGGAUCUGUACUGCUGAAAAUAAAUGAUGUGGAAAAGGAUGUGAGUACUGAGGUUAAGAAAGUUUGCUGAAAGUUUCUUCCAAUGUGGUCUGGGUUUAUUUAAGGCUUUGCUUUUAUUUUAUCUUCAUAUACUUUGGAAAAAAAAUAAAGUUCCAAACAUUCAUAGACUAGCUCGUAUUUAUGAAGGAACUUUCCAUAAUUUCAUUAUUCAAGCAAGUAAACUGUGAUUAAUAGUCCAGCUCAUUGAUGAGCACUUGGAAAAAACCAAGUAAGUACCAAAACAAAUACUCCAUGCCCAACAGGUACGAAAUACUGAAACAAAUCAUGUUCAACAAAAAGUAAGUAUAAGCAGACAGAAACCUAGAUUCAUUGUCCUUGUGGUGACAGCUGCAGGAAGAGCAAAGAUUUCUGAGGUUAGGUUUGGACCGCGUGUAACUAGCUGUUCUUUCAAUUCUAGUCACAAUUGUAGGCUGCCUUGUGUCACAGAGAAUGUGUGUGGCAGGGGUGCCUGGGUUUUUUGUUUGAUCCAUUGUUUUAAUGAAUUUUCAAAGUUUAAUGAUGCCAAAAGCUUACUGUGAUGAGCAAACCUGACGAUAGGUGGGUCAGUAGUUGUGAGGCAUGAGGGGAUGUCAUACCUGCGUGGCGGACUGGCUCCUCUCUGAGGCUGGGAACAAGCCCUGCUCCUCACUGCAAGGACCACUGCCCUCCAAACUCAGCAAUGAGCCGAGCAAGCCCUGGGCGGUUGGGACAGUUAGCACAUCCCAGGGCUGAGGAUGUGCAAGAUGAUCAAGGGCAGCUCUCUCCUGCGCUGGGGAGCCUAUCGCUGGGCCCAGCGCUCCAGCUGCGGCCUCCUUAGAGCUGAGCAGAGGGGCAGGAUCAGCGCCCUUUGCACGCUGGCAGCACGCUGGCACCUCGUGCAGCCCAACUCAGCACUCACAUUUGUGGGCAGCGCUCCUUGCUGGUUUAGCCAAGA